GAAUUGACGGGGGCCCGCACAAGCAGCGGAGCAUGUGGUUUAAUUCGAAGCAACGCGAAGAACCUUACCAGGGCUUGACAUCCCUCUGACGUAUCUGGAGACAGGUAUUCCCUUCGGGGCAGAGGAGACAGGUGGUGCAUGGUUGUCGUCAGCUCGUGUCGUGAGAUGUUGGGUUAAGUCCCGCAACGAGCGCAACCCUUGUCGUUAGUUGCCAGCACGUAAAGGUGGGCACUCUAGCGAGACUGCCGGCGAUAAGUCGGAGGAAGGUGGGGAUGACGUCAAAUCAUCAUGCCCCUUAUGUCCUGGGCUACACACGUACUACAAUGGCGACCACAAAGGGAAGCAAUACCGCGAGGUGGAGCAAAUCCCCAAAAGUCGCCCCAGUUCAGAUUGCAGGCUGCAACUCGCCUGCAUGAAGGCGGAAUUGCUAGUAAUGGCAGGUCAGCAUACUGCCGUGAAUACGUUCCCGGGCCUUGUACACACCG
rnacentral:rRNA from 1 species